GUAAUGGUGUCUUUAGACACCACCUCUCUUUUUCAAAAUUUUGUGU
rfam:Picea glauca, whole genome shotgun sequence.